AACCUUCCCAGAACAGGUGAAUAGCCUUUCGAAAGAGAGAUUAAUACACCGUAAGAUAUAGUAGUGGCAUCAUUAUUAUAUUAUAGGCCGCAAGGUUGGUUUUGGAUGGGCGUGCGCCUGAUUAGGUAGUUGGUGCGGGUAACGGCCCACCAAGCCUCCGAUCAGUAACUGGUGUGAGAGCACGACCAGUCACACGGGCACUGAGACACGGGCCCGACUCCUACGGGAGGCAGCAGUAAGGAAUAUUGGUCAAUGGACGAAAGUCUGAACCAGCCAUGCCGCGUGCAG
rnacentral:rRNA from 1 species